rnacentral:rRNA from 1 species
UACGAAGGGGGCUAGCGUUGCUCGGAAUCACUGGGCGUAAAGGGCGCGUAGGCGGACUCUUAAGUCGGGGGUGAAAGCCCAGGGCUCAACCCUGGAAUUGCCUUCGAUACUGAGAGUCUUGAGUUCGGAAGAGGUUGGUGGAACUGCGAGUGUAGAGGUGAAAUUCGUAGAUAUUCGCAAGAACACCAGUGGCGAAGGCGGCCAACUGGUCCGAUACUGACGCUGAGGCGCGAAAGCUAGGGGAGCGAACGGG